GAUGCUUAACUGACUAAGCCAUCUAGGCGCCCCUGCCUGAAAUUUUAAAUUCUAAAGUUAGUUUUGAAGAUCCAUCAUCCUUCACUUGCCUAUGACAGAACUGUUAUAGGAAUGACAUGGGAUAAUUUAGUGCUACUGAGGCAUUCUUACUACACGAGAGUUUGCUGUAUGUGGGGGUUGUGCUAGAUGUUUGAAUUUCAAAGGUGAAACAUGAGAGGGUUAGCACAAUGGGAAUGAGUUUUGGAUCCUAUCUAUUAUGAGCCAAACAUUGUGUUGGGCACUCUAUGCAUACCAUCUCAUCUAACACCCCAAUACUAUGUAUUCUUUUUCAGAUACAGAAACUGAGGCUUUAAGCUAUUAAAGCUAAGAUCAUUCAGCUUAAUAUAUAUGGUGGGGGAGAAUUAAAAUAUUCUGUAAUAUUUAUUAGUUUAUGUGUCUGAAUUCUAAUACGGAAUCAUGAACAAAUGAUCUGGGAACUCAGGAAAAAACAAGUUGUUCUUUCCCAGGUGUGGUUCCAAGGUAAUAUUUCGGUUGGGGUUUGGAAGUCAUAUGAGAACGAUGGGAGCAGCCAUCUUUCUGACUGAAGGAUUGGAUUGAGCAAGUUUUUGCACAGGUGAAAGUGAAUGAGACAGGGAGUAGGUGGACAUUUCUCAGGUACAGGGUACGUUGCAAGGUGGCUCAUGCAGCAAAGUGGGGGUAGUGGAUGCUGUUAAUGCGCCAACCCAUAUCCUUAAACUCACCUCUGAAUCCACCUGAAGCUGUUGUGGAUUGUUUGCCAAUUUAAACACCAGGGCCUCUGCUUCUCAGCCUGGAGACUUUUUCUGUCAGCAGAAACAUUUGCUCAAUUGCAGAUAGCUGUGAGAUGGACGUGUGGGGAGUUAACCCGAGGGGCACUCCUCAACCUAGGGGAGUUAGGAGUCAGUGGUAAUACUUUAGUUCCUAUAGUGUAAGCCUUGACAGUUGCUUCUCCCCACCACCCCCCCCCCCUUUUUUUUUUUUACAAUGCAAGCACAUGCCCUAAGCUUUGAUUGCUAAGCAUCCAAAGAGGCAUCCACUUCAAAGACAGAUAUCUUGAAUAAACACAUUGCCAGCCACAGGACUGGAUGCAAAGUCAGGCCACCUUCCCCAACUGAGGCUCCCUUGAUUUAGAAAUCUUGGCUGAUUUCCAUUAACUCACCAUUUGGGCCACCUGUCUUUUCUCUUCCCUGUAUUUUAAAUUCCCACCCUUAGGUUUUAAAUGCACCAAUAAGAAAGGAGCCCUUGAAAUCCUAUGCCCCCACACUCAAUUCCAAUAAAAGCAGAAGCCCCUCCCCUUUUUCCAGUGCACUCUGCCUCCUCCUUUCUCUAACUACAACCUCACCGUGAGGCCCCAAAUGUGCUGUGUAAGUUCCAGAUCUUGAUCUGAACUUCAUGGACACAGUGGAGGAGACUGAGCUCCCUUGAUUUCUGACUGCAUACAGUGUUCGGUCAAUAAGAAAUCGUAUGGCAUCAGAGGAAGAGAGGAGAAAGGUCAGAUGAAUCUGCUCAUAAUCCCAAAGUAUUCUCCCUCCUGACUACAUCAGAGAAACUUCUCAUGGCAUAGAAACUGCCAGCAGCCAGAUGAAGACACCUGUCCCUAUCUGCAUGUGGAGUCAUAAGCAGUCAUUUCCUAGCUUGGCAGCACUCCUUCAAGUGACAUUUCCAACACCACCUAGAGAACCAGGAAAUUCAGUCAGGCAGGCAGCACCAGAGGUGGGCCUGAUCAAGUCCCUGUUGGCAAAUUCUUGUUCAAGAAAUAAGAAAAAGGGGAAGACCCUGGACAUAAAUCCCAACAUGCUAUAGAGAAUUUUUUGGAGGUAAUUGCUGAUUUGCAAAUAGGCAAAGUUUUUAAGCUUUGACUUGUUUAGAAUAUGGAAGAAAAUAAUAAUAAUAAUAAAAAGGACAGUCUUAUUUCUUUUAUAAUUACCCACACAGAAUGAAGAGAACUGAGGAAAUUAAUCUUAAUGACCCAAACCCCUCCCCUCUAGAAACAUACUUUCCCUCAUUGUAUGGGUAUUUCAAAUAAUCAGAUCCCCAAAAUGGCUUCUAGUUCUUCUCCUUUUCAUGGCUAGGUAGCUUUCCUCUUUCUCUCUUUUUUUACUUCCUUCCUUUCUUCUUACAAAUAAUUAUUGAAUACAUAGAAUAUUACAGGCCCUUAGGAUACAUCAGUUAACUUUAUAGACAUUGUCUUUGCCUUCGUGGAACUUAGUCUGGUUGGGGGAUCAGGCAUCAAAUUAAAAUUUACACAAAGUGUUAUAUAAUUGCAGUAAUUUCAGUAAUAAUAAAUAUAGUACUAUAUUAUAUUAACUUUUAACAAGUCUGUAAGUUCAGGGAAGGCUUUCCCAAAGACAACAAUAUUCAUUGUUGAGACUAAAAGGAUAAAUAAUACACAAAGCAAUCCCAAAUAUAGAAGCCUCCCAGAAAAUGGAAAGACAAAGAAAAUGAACAAAACAAUCUCUAAUAUAGUCUAGAUUUAGACCCAUAGUCAACAUUAUAUCAACGAGAAAGUGAUGCUCUUUCUACAAUCUCUUUUUGGAAUCCUAUUCCUGAAGAGAAGAGACUGCUGUUAAAUACCUGAAAAAAUGUCAUCACUAUUAACAGAUAACCUAAAUGUAUUUGUAAUCCAGAGCUUAGAUGAUCUGUAUAGCUAAAAGAACAAAUACCAGCAAAUAAUACCCAAAGGGGUGUUAGAAAACAUAUAUUCUGUCCAAACUGAAUUAUUUGCAUCCCCAGCAUGGAAGUGUAUUUAUUAGGGUAUAAGUUUGACUGCCAUGACAGAAACUCAAAACAAUAGAAGCUUAAACAUAGUGGAAGUUUUGUUUUUCUCUCUACUAACCACCUGAGUAUAAGAAUACCAGAAUUAGGAUGGUAGCUCCAUGGUGUGAAGGCACAGUCUUCUUAUAUCAUGUUGUUUUAUGCUCUCUAGAAUGUUGCCCUCAUCUGCAUGUUUCAAGAUGACUCAUAAGAAAGGGAAAAGAAGUUAAAGAGAAGUACAUUCCCUUUUAAGAGGCACAACCCAGAAUUUUCUGAUGUCAUUUCUGCUCUUAAAUCAUGACCUAGAUGGACCUAGUCACAAGGCCACACCUAGCUUUGGAAACAGUCAUUAUUCUGGGUACUCAUAUGCCCAAGUGAAAAAUAUGAGAAAGAAAAUGAUAUCAGAUAAUUGGGAGAAAUGCAUAUACCACCACAAUGACAAACAUGAAAAACAUUAUGAUAACCCAAAGGAUAUAAGAAUGAGUUAGGCUAGUUUCCUGACCUGAAGGAUGCCAGGAGCCAAUGGUUGGGAGAGGCAGCAGACAUGCACUAGAGGAGAGGUAGAUUUUAGGGAUGAGGAAAGGCCAUACAUUGAUUCUCUUUGGGGAAUUAUCAUAGAAAAGGUAACAGCUAAGUUGGGUUCUAAAUUAUGUGUCAGAUUUCAACAGGAAGAGAAAGGUAAGAACCCUUCAGGAAGAGGAAACCAUGUUACAGCAACUUCCUUGAUGGAUCUACAUGAGCUUAAUAUGCUUGUUGCUGUAUCCACACGUUAUCUUUAGUCAGAUGAUUUAAAGAAUAAUCUUAAUUACAAGUCUUAGUCAAAGUAAUGAGUAUUAUCCAUUUUAAUGCAAAAGUGAAUUGUGAAAGUUUUUGAAUCAUAACUAGUGCAUUCCUGAGUGGUGAGAUCCCGCUUGAUAGACCUAACAAAAUGAUGAAGGCUGAGAUUCUUCUUGGAAGUGUUAAUCCACAAAGUAUGUAGCCAUAAACAUGCCUUUUCCUUUUACAUUCUAAAGACAUCCACAAAGUAAGGUAAACAGUGAAGAAGGAUCUGUAAAAUAAUCCAUCUCAAGACUAUCACAACUCAUAAAAAUUGAGUUAACUAAACUCUGUCCAGAUGAGAAAAUAGCAGUCAUAAUUUCCAUGAGUAUAUGAAUUUAUGGUUUUAAAAGAGUGUACUUUACAUACAUUGUCAGUUAAUACUUAAUAUAAAUCUAUGCUAUAGGUACAGCUGGUAUUAUUAUUUCAAUUUUAAGAGUGACACAACCAAAUCUAAAAGAUAUAAA